AGUUACUUUAUAAUAUUCUGUGAGAAAGAAACCAAUUUUUUCAUCUAUCUAUACAGUUUGAACAACAGAUAAACUCUUUUUUGGUUUUUAGAAAACAGAGACACGUGACAGGUGAAUUGCUCUUAUUCUGAAGUUUAAUUGUUUUGCUUAUAACACAUUCAACAGGUACUAAAAAAACUAAUACAAUUUAUUUAUUAUUAUAUAUUCAUUAUUAUUAUUAUUAUUAUUAUUAUUAUUAUUAUUAAAACCAAACUAAAGGCAAUUAUCUUUCAUCUGAAGAGGAUUUUUUCGUGCGACUCGACAAAGUGCUAAAGUUGAUGUUUACAUUGAUUUUAACAUCUCAUGUACAGUCCUAUCUAAUUUAGCGCUGAAAUGCGUGUUUCAUUGUGCAACAGAUUUCCCUGGUCAUAUACAACAAAUCCUGCAUAAAUAUAAAUCAAGAUACUCUGAGUGCAGUUUUAAUGAUGAUGGUACACACUUGUUGAGUAAUUGUGCAUUCAAGUUGAAAUUGUUUUUGUCAAAAUCAUUGCAGGCAUGUUGAUUGUUAUUUAUUAAAAAAUAUCAACCUCACUUUUGAA